CUGAACGUCCUGAUGAAGUAAACCUCGUCGAUGAACAGGCCUGGUGUUGGCCUGUGUAUUACUUCUUCUUGCAAUGGUUAUCCUCGUCAUCGCCGCAAGAACCUGGAUGCUCUUCAAGCAAGAUUCAGGAGACAUCCAUCAUCGAGUCCCAUCGACGACGCCAAAUGUCAUACAUGGCACAUCCAAUACAACGCAGGAUACGACGACGCCAAAACUCACACGUAGCACAACCAC